CGAUUCACUUCGGCCCAGGCAACCAGCCAAGUCCUCGGCCGAGUCAGCUGGGACGGCGAGAGCGGGGCAGAGGAGAGGGGCUGGCCACCAUCUUUGGGAAACGGGGCUCCGGUCGAGUGAGGGAGCGAGCGAGCGAGCGAGCAAGCCAACGCACAGGACGGAGAGGAGCUCCCGCAGAGAUAUUUGAAAGUAACUACACCAAACAGUACUGGAAGACCUGCCACUACCAUGGCAACAAAAUAUCUUGA
rnacentral:lncRNA from 1 species